UGUAGUGCAAAUAGGUUGCACGUGUGGACUGACUGCACAUAGAUCGCACGGGCCGAGCUGCCUGCGGUUUUGUUAAGUUACUGGAAAUGCCAUUACAUUUAUAAGUUUACUGAGACACACGGAAGACAAGUUGCCUCUGUUAGCUGUUUUGUGUUGUCAUUCCCUUUGGAGUUAAUGCGGCCAAUGAGUUCUCACGGCAUGCUUUAUACCAUGUUUGAUGGCAUAUUUUGAUGGCAUCGAGGAUGACUAAUAAAUGCCCGUAAAGAAGAA